rnacentral:rRNA from 1 species
AAUUGUGGCCGCCAGAGGUGUCCGUCGUCGAGACUCCCUGCUCCGAAGUUGACCUGGAACGGCACGUCAGAGAGGGUGAGAGCCCCGUGCGCGGAGCAGGGCGUCGCGGCUUUGGUCGCCUUCGCAGAGUCGGGUUGUUUGGGACUGCAGCCCAAAGUGGGUGGUAAACUCCAUCUAAAACUAAAUACUGGCACGAGACCGAUAGCGAACAAGUACCGUGAGGGAAAGGUGAAAAGCACUUUGAAAAGAGAGUCCAAGAGACCGCGAAACCGUUGGGAGGGAAGCGAAUGCGAGCGCGACGGCUCCGUGCGGGUUCAGGGAGGCGACGUGCCCCGGUCGCGGGCGCCUAAGGGCAAACGUGGUCGAGGCUAGUCUCCGUUCCGCUCUCCCGCGCUGGAGCUCCCAGCGUCGCUGGCGUCCACCGCCGUCGGCUUCGAGGAAGGUGACCGUGGCUCGCCCUCGGGCGUCUACGGAGCUUACAGCCGAUGUCGGCGCGAGUGGAGGCGAGCGUGGUGAACGCGACGCUUCGCGUGGCAGUGCGGGCCUCUCCCCUCGUGGGAGCGGGCCGGGUCUCUUCUGGGCGGGCGGGCCAGCCGGCGAGGGACUGCUCGACAGUGCCACGUUGUGCUCGGUCUGGUCGUCCGGGAGGUGGACGACGACUCGCGCUGCAGUCGCUGGGACCACUGGCGCUCGCAUCCGACCCGUCUUGAAACACGGACCAAGGAGUGUAGCAUGCGCGCGAGUGUUCGGGGUGGGAGCCCCCGGAGCGUAAUGAAGGUGAAGGCGGUCUCUACGAUCGCCGAGGCGCGGGCCCGUCUCUGGCGGGCGCAGCGUCGACCGAUUCCGACCCACGCCGUGGCGGGAUUCGAGUUGGAGCGUGCAUGUUGCGACCCGAAAGAUGGUGAACUAUGCCCGAGUAGGGCGAAGCCAGAGGAAACUCUGGUGGAGGCUCGCAGCGGUUCUGACGUGCAAAUCGAUCGUCAAACUUGGGUAUAGGGGCGAAAGACCAAUC